ensembl:snRNA U6 U6 spliceosomal RNA
GUGCUUGCUUUGGUAGCACAUUUACUAAAAUUGGAACGAGACAGAGAAGAUUAGCAUGGCCCCUGCACAAGGAUGACACGCAAAUUCGUGAAGCGUUCCAUAUUUUU